UGUUCGUGACACACCGGUGCGCCUCCUUUCAAUUCGGACCCCGUUAGUGCCUGUGAUCAUAUUGAUUAAUCUAUGCUAUAUUUUGUUAAACGUUAUUUACGCAAGGUCUGCGACAGCGUUUCGACGGCUGUCGAUACAAAAUAACAAUAUUAUUGCGAUAAUACGCUACUGCGACGACUACACAUGCCUUUCUUAUUUUCUGCGUGCCACGCGCACGCGAUCGUCGACUAUGAAAAUCCGGCGCGCGAAAUUCACCGCCGCUGACUUUCUUCUCUCACACGAAUUUUACCGAUAAAUCGGAAUCUUAGAAGAAUACCGCACGGCGUGUGAUGCGCGUGUGUGCUCGCUGUGAUGCCAGGAACCGAUUGGGCGUGUUAUCAACGUUCAUCAAUGCAGGUACUAUUAUGAUUUUUAACGAGAUCCAUUGAUCAGACGAUCCAUACGGCUGCUAUAAUAUUAUUAAACAGCGUUAUGUAUGUGUAUGACUGCGCACAUAGAAAGAGCGUAUAAAAUUGUCGUGGAAGUCGAACUGUCACACUCCUACACAAUAUAUACGGAAUGUUGUACAGAAACAACACAACGGUAUAACAAGCGAUAUAUAAUUGCUUGUAUGUUUAUGAUGUUUUUAAAGUUUCUUAUGGUAGUUGUACCGUUUA